rnacentral:rRNA from 1 species
GAUGAACGCUGGCGGCGUGCCUAAUACAUGCAAGUCGAGCGAACGGACGAUAAGCGUGCUUCUCUGAUGUUGGCGGCGUACGUGUGAGUAAAGUGUGGAUAACCUACCUUUAGGACUAGGCUAACUUCGUGGAACCGGUACUAAUACCGUGUUAUUGUUGCAACCGGAGGGUUGAAAAGUUAAAGACGUUCUUGCUGUCACUUAUAGCUAUAUCCUGGCUGCAUUAGUUAUUUGGUAACGUAACGGCUUACCGAGGCAACGAUGCAUAGCCGACCGGAGAGGGUGAUCGGCGACACUGGAAGUGAGACACGAUACAGACACCGACGGGCGGCAGCAGUAGGGAAGCGACCGAAAAGGGCGGAAGACUGAAGGAGCAACGCCACGUGAGUGAUGCAGGUCUUCGGAUCGUAUGACUCUGUUAUUAGGGAAGAACAUAUGCGUAAGUAACUGUGCACAUCUUGACGGUACCUAAUCAGAAAGCAACGGCUAACUACGUG